rnacentral:rRNA from 1 species
UACAGAGGUCUCAAGCGUUGUUCGGAUUCAUUGGGCGUAAAGGGUGUGUAGGUGGCGCGCUAAGUCGGGUGUGAAAUUUCGGAGCUUAACUCCGAAACUGCAUUCGAUACUGGCGUGCUUGAGGACUGGAGAGGAGACUGGAAUUCAUGGUGUAGCAGUGAAAUGCGUAGAGAUCUGGAGGAACACCGAUGGCGAAGGCAGCCUUCUGGGCCAACACUGACGCUCAUGCACGAAAGCGUGGGGAGCAAACAGG